GUGAGGAAUUUUGCGCAAUGGCCGCAAGGCUGACGCAGCAACGCCGCGUGAGUGAUGAAGGCCUUAGGGUUGUAAAGCUCUUUUACCCGGGAUGAUAAUGACAGUACCGGGAGAAUAAGCUCCGGCUAACUCCGUGCCAGCAGCCGCGGUAAUACGGAGGGAGCUAGCGUUGUUCGGAAUUACUGGGCGUAAAGCGCACGUAGGCGGCUUUGCAAGUUAGAGGUGAAAGCCCGGGGCUCAACUCCGGAAUUGCCUUUAAAACUGCAUCGCUUGAAUCCGGGAGAGGUGAGUGGAAUUCCGAGUGUAGAGGUGAAAUUCGUAGAUAUUCGGAAGAACACCAGUGGCGAAGGCGGCUCACUGGACCGGUAUUGACGCUGAGGUGCGAAAGCGUGGGGAGCAAACAGGAUUAGAUACCCUUGUAGUCC
rnacentral:rRNA from 1 species